UACGGGGGGUGCAAGCGUUGUUCGGAAUUAUUGGGCGUAAAGGGCGCGUAGGCGGUGCGGUAAGUCACCUGUGAAACCUCUAGGCUCAACCUAGAGCCUGCAGGCGAAACUGCCGUGCUUGAGGGUGGGAGAGGUGCGUGGAAUUCCCGGUGUAGCGGUGAAAUGCGUAGAUAUCUGGAGGAACACCGGUGGCGAAGGCGGCAUCCUGGACCGGCAUUGACGCUGAGGAGCGAAAGCCAGGGGAGCAAACGGG
rnacentral:rRNA from 1 species